UACGUAGGGUGCGAGCGUUGUCCGGAAUUACUGGGCGUAAAGAGCUCGUAGGUGGUUUGUCGCGUUGUCCGUGAAAACUCACAACUCAAUUGUGGGCGUGCGGGCGAUACGGGCAGACUGGAGUACUGCAGGGGAGACUGGAAUUCCUGGUGUAGCGGUGGAAUGCGCAGAUAUCAGGAGGAACACCGGUGGCGAAGGCGGGUCUCUGGACAGUUCCUGACGCUGAGGCGCGAAGGCCAGGGGAGCAAACGGG
rnacentral:rRNA from 1 species